rnacentral:rRNA from 1 species
UGGGGAAUUUUGGACAAUGGGCGAAAGCCUGAUCCAGCCAUGCCGCGUGCAGGAUGAAGGCCUUCGGGUUGUAAACUGCUUUUGUACGGAACGAAAAGACUCCUUCUAAUAAAGGGGGUCCAUGACGGUACCGUAAGAAUAAGCACCGGCUAACUACGUGCCAGCAGCCGCGGUAAUACGUAGGGUGCGAGCGUUAAUCGGAAUUACUGGGCGUAAAGCGUGCGCAGGCGGCUUUGCAAGACAGAUGUGAAAUCCCCGGGCUCAACCUGGGAACUGCAUUUGUGACUGCAAGGCUAGAGUACGGCAGAGGGGGAUGGAAUUCCGCGUGUAGCAGUGAAAUGCGUAGAUAUGCGGAGGAACACCGAUGGCGAAGGCAAUCCCCUGGGCCUGUACUGACGCUCAUGCACGAAAGCGUGGGGAGCAAACA